ensembl:lncRNA
UGUGGGCCACCGCUGAGGGUGAAUGCAGACGGCCGUGAAAUAUGGCAUGGUUAGUUUUUAUAGGCUGGGUAAUUCCACAUGCUAAUGAGUGGGAGGACUAUUCCAACUAUUUUGGGGAAGGGGCGGAGAUUUCGUGGAUUGGGCCACCGCCCACUCCUCGGUCUUUUAGCAGUCCUUCCCAGGCCUUCGCGCUGGCUCUCCAUCCUCCUUUGCUUCCGGAGGCGGCAUCCAGAGCCGUUUUGACCAGGAGGAAACCAAGGCUCAGAGCUCGACCAUCGUCCAGGGCCCACCGCACCCAGUGGGUACGUGGGUCCCGCUGCUCCCACUCCAAUCGCGUUUCUCGACCUGGUUCUACUCACAGGACCCCAUGGCGGCUGCAGUGCUAAUGAACUGGGCUCAGAUAUCUGAAAGAAACUAAAGAAGGCGAAGAAGGCCCUCAAACCCCUCAAUGAGACCUUCAAUGAGCCCUUUAAGGUUUUCAAUAACUGGGAAGAGCAGGAAAAUCUAGAGAAGGCCCAGGGAAAUCAGGUUAAAUACCACCUUUGAGCUACUGCCCUACAUGGCUCCACAUUUCCAUCAACCAACAAAGAAGGAAGCCCCCUGGGCCCUACUUCAAAUGCGGCAAAGAAGGUCACUGGGCCCACUCAUGCCUGAAGCCAAGGCCCCCGCCAGGUCCGUGUCCCAGCUGUGGCAUAGUGGGACAUUGGAAGGUCCACUGCUCAAAUCCUCCUCUAGGGAUCCGGACAGCCCUUCCUGGUCUGGAGCAGGAGUCCUCUGACUCAGCUCUGCCCAGCCUCCUCACCGCUGAGGACUGAAGGUGCCCAGGGCCCCACACCCUGACUCUCAUCACCUCUAUGGAGCCCAGAGUAACUCUUACAGUGGCAGAAGUUGUUGUGGAAAUUAUCAAGAUGGCUGUAAAAUCAUAUGACACGUUAAAGGGUUUAGCAUGUCCAAGCAAGAAGAACAAACCUGGAGAAUUUACAUCAUCAUCUAUGGAG